AUAUUUCCUCAUUCAAGCAAUCUAGCGCUACGGAACAGAGCUGAGCUGAGCUGUGCGAGGUCUGAAGUCGACAAAUUAAACGAAAAGAUGUAUUGGUCUUUAUCUUUGGUACUUGUAUGUUUAUUGGUAACAAAUGUUUAUGAAUCUGCCACUGCAACGUCAUCAUUAAUAGUGCCUACGAGUAUUCACGUCAAAACGGCAAAUACAGCUACGGUCAAUAUGACAUUGCCAGUAGCCCCUCUCCCGACUGCUUCUGCAUCGCAUGAUCAGGGCGUAUCUAAUCGUACGAUGCAAAAGCCUGGUCCUAAGCCUGGUCCUGCAACGAUAUCAAACGAAAUGUCCGCUUCAUCCACCGUGAAUUCAACAAACACACCUGGUGGCGGAAAAUCAGCGUCGUCAGUUGUCACACAUACAUCUGUCCUCUUCGUCGCUUGCUUGUUCCUGGGUAGUUUUCUAACCUAAAUUCUCUUUUGACGAAUACUGGAAUAUCGGUUUAGACGUAAAAUCUAUCGUAAUAUCGUCCCAUUUCCAGACAUCUUAUAGUAUCUUACAUUUUCUUAACUUUUUAUGCAUGUUCUUAGUCCAGAUCAUUGUAAAGCUUUUCUACUAAUAUAUAUCCCGCUUUGUUAGUAAAUUCAACAUAACCGUAAACUCAAGUGGAAAGUGUUUUUUUCUUCUAGUUAUUAAAACAUUGAAACACGCGUGGAA